rnacentral:ribozyme from 1 species
GUGACGUGACGUCUUUGUCUGGCCUGUCGAAUAGACAACACCACACACCGCACACCGCACACCACACACCACACACCACACACCAUGCACACGCCACAGAACACAAGAAGAAAAGUUUUUUUAUGUUGGUACAUGCUACUUUUUUUAUUUGGUUUGACUUGACUUGAUUUGCUAUUGUUGUUUGUUAUUGUUGUUGUUGUUUACGAGGGUUGCCGCUGUUCCGUGAUGAUACUGAUACUGAUGCUAAUGCUGUAUGCUAGUACUUUGUCAAUCAAAAUUGAAAUCACAAUCAAAAUUGAAAUCGAAUCGUCAUCUUCUUCA